rnacentral:rRNA from 1 species
UACGAAGGGGGCUAGCGUUGCUCGGAAUUACUGGGCGUAAAGGGCGCGUAGGCGGGUCGUUUAGUUAGAGGUGAAAGCCCAGGGCUCAACCCUGGAAGUUGCCCUUUAAUACUGGUCGGCCUUGAGUAUGAGAGAGGUGUGUGGAACUCCGAGUGUAGAGGUGAAAUUCGUAGAUAUUCGGAAGAACACCAGUGGCGAAGGCGACACACUGGCUCAUUACUGACGCUGAGGCGCGAAAGCGUGGGGAGCAAACAGG